AAUACCAAACACAGCUGUGAGAAUGAAAUGAAAUCCAUCUGACACAAGAAGAUGUACCACCUCUGAUCACUUCCUUCUUCCCUUCCUUUGUUGGACCAUCAUCCAGCUGAUGCACCUGCAGCAGAGUGAGCAGGAAAGGAAGUGAAUUUGCACGCCAGGACAGCCUUGGAACUGGGACAAGGAGCUUUUUGCCCUUAACACUCCUGACUUUGCUGCUGUGGUUCCAGCUUUUCCCCAGGGAAGGAAGGGUC
rnacentral:lncRNA from 1 species